UACAGAGGGUGCGAGCGUUGUUCGGAAUUACUGGGCGUAAAGCGCGCGCAGGCGGCCUUUUAAGUCCAUCGGUGAAAUGCCGGGGCUCAACCCCGUUGCAGGCCGAGGAUACUGGGAGGCUGGAGACACGUAGAGGCAAGCGGAAUUCCGGGUGUAGCGGUGGAAUGCGUAGAGAUCCGGAAGAACACCGGAGGCGAAGGCGGCUUGCUGGGCGUGAUCGUGACGCUGAGGCGCGAAAGCGUGGGGAGCGAACAGG
rnacentral:rRNA from 1 species